GCGGAUGUGGCGGAACUGGCAGACGCGCAAGGUUCAGGUCCUUGUGGGCGAUAAGCUCGUGGAGGUUCGACUCCUCUCAUCCGCA
rnacentral:tRNA from 1 species